GUCCCCAUAUCCCAAUGGCAGAGGAAGUUGACUUAAAAUCAAUUCAGUGUCAGUUCGAGUCUGACUGGGGAUACAA
rnacentral:tRNA from 1 species